CUAGUCCUACCUGCUUAUUAUCCAACAGGACCUGGCACUCAGCCUGUUCCUGAGGGACAGAAGAGGCAGCAAAAGCUAAGGUAAAAAUGGGUGGAAAUUAUGAAGUGAAGCAGCAACCGGAUUUGGGAAAUUGUAGAAGUAUCCUAGGAUCACAUUGUAUCUCUAUGCAGAAGAGCAGAAGGUCAUUUUCAGUCCAGAUUUUCUUCUACAACUUGCCAUCUCUUUCUAGUUGGGGUCUGGACACCACAGCCUAAGCAGAUGAACUGACGCUUAACCCCAGAAAUGAAAGACAAAGAAAG